ACUCCUACGGGAGGCAGCAGUGGGGAAUAUUGCACAAUGGGGGAAACCCUGAUGCAGCCAUGCCGCGUGUGUGAAGAAGGCCUUCGGGUUGUAAAGCACUUUCAGUAGGGAGGAAGGUAGUGUAGUUAACACCUGCAUUAUUUGACGUUACCUACAGAAGAAGCACCGGCUAACUCCGUGCCAGCAGCCGCGGUAAUACGGAGGGUGCGAGCGUUAAUCGGAAUUACUGGGCGUAAAGCGCAUGCAGGCGGCCUGUUAAGUCAGAUGUGAAAGCCCGGGGCUUAACCUCGGAAUUGCAUUUGAAACUGGCAGGCUAGAGUCUUGUAGAGGGGGGUGAAUUUCAGGUGUAGCGGUGAAAUGCGUAGAGAUCUGAAGGAAUACCAGUGGCGAAGGCGGCCCCCUGGACAAAGACUGACGCUCAGAUGCGAAAGCGUGGGGAGCAAACAGGAUUAGAUACCCUGGUAGGAAAGCC
rnacentral:rRNA from 1 species